rnacentral:rRNA from 1 species
GACGAACGCUGGCGGCGUGCCUAAUACAUGCAAGUCGAACGCAGUGGGGACGGGGGAGUAACACGUGGGUAACCUCCCAUCAGAGGGGAUAACACUUGGAAACAGGUGCUAAACCGAUACUGAUUGAUGGACCCGCGGGGCAUUAGCUAGUGGGUGGGGUAACGGCUCACCAAGGCCACGAUGCAUAGCCGGCUGGAGAGGGUGAUCAGCCACACUGGGACUGAGACACGGCCCAGACUCCUACGGGAGGCAGCAGUAGGGAAUCUUCGGCAAUGGACGAAAGUCUGACAGAGCAACGCCGCGUGAGUGAAGAAGGUUUUCGGAUCGUAAAACACUUUUGUCAGAGAAGCGGUAUCUAACCAGAAAGCCACGGCUAACUACGUGCCAGCAGCCGCGGUAAUUC